UACGGAGGAUCCGAGCGUUAUCCGGAUUUAUUGGGUUUAAAGGGUGCGUAGGCGGCCUUGUAAGUCAGGGGUGAAAGACGGUAGCUCAACUAUCGCAGUGCCUUUGAUACUGCAGGGCUUGAAUGUACUUGAGGCAGGCGGAAUGUGACAAGUAGCGGUGAAAUGCAUAGAUAUGUCACAGAACACCAAUUGCGAAGGCAGCUUGCUAAAAGUAUGAUUGACGCUGAGGCACGAAAAGCGUGGGGAUCAAACAGG
rnacentral:rRNA from 1 species